AGUGUAGGCGGUCUGCCAAGUCGAUUGUGAAAUCUCCCGGCUCAACCGGGAGGGUGCGGUCGAAACUGACAGACUAGAGUUCGGGAGAGGAGAGUGGAAUUCCUGGUGUAGCGGUGAAAUGCGUAGAUAUCAGGAGGAACACCGGUGGUGAAGACGGCUCUCUGGACCGAUACUGACGCUGAGACUCGAAAGCGUGGGGAGCAAACAG
rnacentral:rRNA from 1 species